rnacentral:lncRNA from 1 species
CAAGAAGGAAAACUGCGAGGAAGGGUAAAGUUAGUGAGAAGGAGCACAAAGUACAUACAGUCUUAUUGUCUACCUGGAAAGCAGUGGCCAUGUAUGUCAUGAGGACAUUCCAGUAACCCCAUGUGGUAAGGAACCAAGUCAGCCUGCCAACAACCACUGAAAAACUGAGCCCUCCUGCUGACAGCCAUGUGAGAGGAACACCUGGGAAGUGGAUCCUCCAGGCCUGGUCAUACUUCAGAUGACUGCAGCCCAAGCCAACAUCUUGCUUGAGUGGAGCCUCAUGAGUGACUCAGUCAAAACCACACAGCUGAGAUAUUUCCAACCCACAGAUACUGAGAUAAUAAAUGUUUAUUGCUACUAGGUUUCCUUCCUUCCUUCCUUCCUUCCUUUUUCUCUUCUCUUCUCCUUCCUUCCUUCCUCCCUCCCUCUCCUCCUCCUCCGUCUUCUUCCUCUUCCUCUUCUUCCUCUUCCCCUUCCCCUUCCUCUUCCUCCUUCUUUCUUUCUUACUUUCUUUCUCUUUCUUUCUUUCUUUCUCUAUGAAAAUAUCAGGUGUACUAUAUUUUACCUGCCUUCAUGUAUAUUUGAAUAAUUC